GAUGAACGCUGGCGGCGUGCCUAAUACAUGCAAGUCGAGCGAACGGACGAGAAGCUUGCUUCUCUGAUGUUAGCGGCGGACGGGUGAGUAACACGUGGAUAACCUACCUAUAAGACUGGGAUAACUUCGGGAAACCGGAGCUAAUACCGGAUAAUAUUUUGAACCGCAUGGUUCAAAAGUGAAAGACGGUCUUGCUGUCACUUAUAGCUGGAUCCGCGCUGCAUUAGCUAGUUGGUAAGGUAACGGCUUACCAAGGCAACGAUGCAUAGCCGACCUGAGAGGGUGAUCGGCCACACUGGAACUGAGACACGGUCCAGACUCCUACGGGAGGCAGCAGUAGGGAAUCUUCCGCAAUGGGCGAAAGCCUGACGGAGCAACGCCGCGUGAGUGACGAAGGUCUUCGGAUCGUAAAACUCUGUUAUUAGGGAAGAACAUAUGUGUAAGUAACUGUGCACAUCUUGACGGUACCUAAUCAGAAAGCCACGGCUAACUACGUG
rnacentral:rRNA from 1 species